rnacentral:rRNA from 1 species
AGAGUUUGAUCCUGGCUCAGAUUGAACGCUAGCGGGAUGCUUUACACAUGCAAGUCGAACGGCAGCGCGAGAAAAGCUUGCUUUUCUUGGCGGCGAGUGGCGAACGGGUGAGUAAUAUAUCGGAACGUGCCCAGUAGCGGGGGAUAACUACGCGAAAGCGUGGCUAAUACCGCAUACGCCCUACGGGGGAAAGGGGGGGAUCGCAAGACCUCUCACUAUUGGAGCGGCCGAUAUCAGAUUAGCUAGUUGGUGGGGUAAAGGCCUACCAAGGCAGCGAUCUGUAGCUGGUUUGAGAGGACGACCAGCCACACUGGGACUGAGACACGGCCCAGACCCCUACGGGAGGCAGCAGUGGGGAAUUUUGGACAAUGGGGGAAACCCUGAUCCAGCCAUCCCGCGUGUGCGAUGAAGGCCUUCGGGUUGUAAAGCACUUUUGGCAGGGAAGAAACGGCGCUGGUUAAUACCUGGCGCAACUGACGGUACCUGCAGAAUAAGCACCGGCUAACUACGUGCCAGCAGCCGCGGUAAUACGUAGGGUGCAAGCGUUAAUCGGAAUUACUGGGCGUAAAGCGUGCGCAGGCGGUUCGGAAAGAAAGAUGUGAAAUCCCAGAGCUUAACUUUGGAACUGCAUUUUUAACUGUCGAACUAGAGUAUGUCAGAGGGGGGUAGAAUUCCACGUGUAGCAGUGAAAUGCGUAGAGAUGUGGAGGAAUACCGAUGGCGAAGGCAGCCCCCUGGGAUAAUACUGACGCUCAUGCACGAAAGCGUGGGGAGCAAACAGGAUUAGAUACCCUGGUAGUCCACGCCCUAAACGAUGUCAACUAGCUGUUGGGGCCUUCGGGCCUUAGUAGCGCAGCUAACGCGUGAAGUUGACCGCCUGGGGAGUACGGUCGCAAGAUUAAAACUCAAAGGAAUUGACGG